rnacentral:rRNA from 1 species
CACAUUGAACCUUCGGGGGAUUUGUUGGGCGGCGAGCGGCGGACGGGUGAGUAAUGCCUAGGAAAUUGCCCUGAUGUGGGGGAUAACCAUUGGAAACGAUGGCUAAUACCGCAUGAUGCCUACGAGCCAAAGAGGGGGACCUUCGGGCCUCUCGCGUCAGGAUAUGCCUAGGUGGGAUUAGCUAGUUGGUGAGGUAAGGGCUCACCAAGGCGACGAUCCCUAGCUGGUCUGAGAGGAUGAUCAGCCACACUGGAACUGAGACACGGUCCAGACUCCUACGGGAGGCAGCAGUGGGGAAUAUUGCACAAUGGGCGCAAGCCUGAUGCAGCCAUGCCGCGUGUAUGAAGAAGGCCUUCGGGUUGUAAAGUACUUUCAGUCGUGAGGAAGGUUCGUGCGUUAAUAGCGUACGGAUUUGACGUUAGCGACAGAAGAAGCACCGGCUAACUCCGUGCCAGCAGCCGCGGUAAUACGGAGGGUGCGAGCGUUAAUCGGAAUUACUGGGCGUAAAGCGCAUGCAGGUGGUUAGUUAAGUCAGAUGUGAAAGCCCGGGGCUCAACCUCGGAAUUGCAUUUGAAACUGGCUGACUAGAGUACUGUAGAGGGGGGUAGAAUUUCAGGUGUAGCGGUGAAAUGCG